CGGACGGCGAGGCAGUAGUCCUCGGAGGCCCGGCAGUAGAUCUUGAAGAUCUGGUUGGGGCCGGACGCCGCCGGCGCCUGGUCCUUGUGGUGGUGCCCGAACCCGAACAUCUUGGCGGCGAGGAGAGCGUGUCUGAUCGGCUAGACUGGUUGGAGCUGUGCGAGUGAGGAGAGAGCGCUGCCCGAUGGCGCCAUUAUAUAGAGCCGAGAGCAGAGCAGAGCAGACCAGAGUCACCACUCACGCGCUGUAGAUAGUAAAAUCUUGAAAAUCUUUGGACCAUAUCUCCAGCGGCCUGGAAUAAAUGGCGGAAAGUAAUUGUAGGAUACGCUCGCUCGAUCGCUGCCAGUACAGUACAGUACAUCACAGCACUAGCCGUUUGGCCAAGAUUUUGGUUGCAUUAGCAAGAUUUUGGUCCGAUUAACAGCAGUGGCCGGUUGAUGCCAGUACCAAGUUUUGGUUCGAUUCAGCACUCAACAUUAGCUGUAUCCAUGCAAAUAUGCAAUGGCCAAAAAUGCCAGCAGCAUACCAUAUAAUUUUUUCUGUGUAUUACUAGUAGUUGAUCAUCCUUAGAGGCUAAGUAUCCUACUGUACUAAUUAAAGACUACAUAUUUGACUCUGCUCUUGGAUUUAUCUUGGUCCUGCAGCAGUAGCACUCCAGCAUCAGGCUUCGGCUCACACUUGGCAUUGCCUUGCAACAUACUAGCCGUUUGGUGUGAAUGUACUGGAAGGUUCUGGUUCGAUUCACCUACCCCCAGUGUUUUCCUCGGCAUUAACUUUGCAUUAGCUGUAUGCAUGCAAAUACGCAAUGCCAGCACGCCGGCGGUGUGAAUUGGAUUAUGGAGUACGGUUAGUGUUCUUGUAUUUUGUAGUCCAUCCAUUGACUCAUCCUAGCAGUGUUCUCUUCUAGCAAACUCAUCCUUAGAGGUUAAGCAUCUCUAUAAGUAAAGACUAGAUAUUUUACAGUUUUUUGAAUUAUUUUGUCCAUUUAUUUACUAACUAUUUGUAGUGUUUAAGGUGCUACCGUCUAAGGCUGCCUUGCCUUCUCGGUUGUCGUCGGCCCAAGUAGGCCGCCCUGAGGCCCUUUGGAUCGGUUCCGCAAUGGGCCAUCGGUUCGGUCCAUGGGCCUUUCCUCCACCGAUGUAGCCGACUAGGUUGUGUAACUCGUGGGGUCCGGAUGUUAUAUAAGUCGGGGUUGAGCUAGUCGAUAGGUCAUUAUAUAAUCAUGCCGUUUAUACCUUUAUACAUGCAAUCAUAGUAUGCACAUAGUAGGAAUAGAGUUCUACCUCUUUCAGAGGGGCCGAACCUAAGUAAAUCGCCUCAUGUUUUCCCUCUGCCCCAAUCGUCAUGUCCGGAUACCCUAUUGAGGGAUCUGUCGGAUUUAGCUCUCACAGUCUUUGUUCUUGAAAGAACAAAUGCCAUAUAUAAUAAGUUUUACAGAUGCUUACAAGAUUACCAUUACAAAAACCGGAAGAUACAUCAAAAUUCCUGGGGUGCCAAAAUACUACUUCUCCUGCAUCGACACACGUCGUGCUGUGAGGAAAACCCGUUAUCGUGUAUGCUACCAUUCCUUAAAACUCGGGAGUUUGUAGAAGCGAUGAUUUGGAAGCCGUUGAUGUAGACUAGUAGAUGACGAUGACCGCAAUGUAUGUAGCAGAUCACUUCUCCCUAGAAGAAAACACCGGAGAGGGCAUGUAUAUCACCCUAGGUCCGGCGAGAUGGAUUCUAGAAACACAAAACUCUUACACGCUCCACCACAAGAGUGAAGUUUGUGAAUCUUUCUCUGUGAGAACUAGAGCGAGAGAAUCAAGACACAGUCCUGCCAUCUAAGACAAACAUGCAGAAGAAAAGCCCCAACCUCCCUCCGAUAACAUCUCCACUUUCUUGGCUUGCUACAACACGUCACCAUCACUAUUGGCCCGGUUCCAUCACCGUCAACAUCGUGGACCUUCGCCAAGAUGAUGCCCCCUUCUUCACCUCCUUCCUUUACCGUCGUCGGCACUCCUUCUUCGAUUUUUGUCCAUCUAUGCUCACCCCUCGACAUUUCGAGCACACCUACGUGUUCUUGGUGAGAAACUAGACCCCUGCACCCCUCGAUAGGCUCCUGCAUCAUUUGAUUUGGCAUGGGCCCAAGGCACCUCCGCCACGGCAUGGUCGUCGGCUGGUCUCUAGUGACCCUUUGCUCCCGCCCGUUGUGUCGCUGCACACGCACCGUCGCGUGGGUCGUUUUUGCCGAACUUGUUGAUUCGCCCUUCCCUCUGAUACAACCCCAAAAUCUGGUUUCUAAUCCCUACAAGACAUUGCAAUCUUGCGUCGUCUAGAAGCACAUUUCCAGCAUAUGAUUGUGACACCACGAGAGGGUUAUAUACCAGUAACAAGGUGAAAAUCACGACAAAUACAACUACGAACAUAAGAGUAAUACGAUAUAUGUUAGGCAUACAUAUGUCGAUAGAUAAAUAUUCCACCAAACAUAGGCAACAUGACCCAACAUUGCAUGAAUCAUACAAGCAAGAAGGCACGAGUCCGAGUACAUACAAGAAGGAAAUAUGCCUAAGGGGCCAAAGAAAUAAGCAACAUCCACCUUGCUAAUCCGAGGCUAGUGAUGUCUACUACGCAACAUUCUCCUUGUAGACGUUGUUGGGCCUCCAAGUGCAGAGGUUUGUAGGACAGUAGCAAUUUUCUCUCAAGUGGGUGACCUAAGGUUUAUCAAUCCGCGGGAGGCGUAGGAUGAAGAUGAUCUCUCUCAAGCACCCUGCAACCAAAUAACAAAGAGUCUCUUGUGUCCCAAACACACCCAAUACAAUGGUCAGUUGUAUAGGUGCACUAGUUCGGCGAAGAGAUGGUGAAAUAAGUGCAAUAUGGAUGGUAGAUAUAGGUUUUUGUAAUCUGAAAUUACAAAAACAACAAGGAAACAAAUGGUAAAAGUGAGCACGAACGGUAUUGCAAUGCGUGGAAACAAGGCCUAGGGUUCAUACUUUCACUAGUGAAGUUCUCUCAAAAAAGAUAACAUAAUUGGAUCAUAUAACUAGCCCUCAACAUGCAACAAAGAGUCACUCCAAAGUCACUAAUAGCGGAGAACAAACGAAGAAAUUAUUGUCGGAUACGAAACCACCAUAAAGUUAUUCUUUCUGAUCGAUCUAUUUAAGAGUUCGUACUAGAAUAACACCUUAAGAUACAUAUCAACCAAGACCCUAAUGUCACGUAGAUACUCCAUUGUCACCUCAAGUAUCCGUGGGCAUGAUUAUACGAUAUGCAUCACAGAAUCUCAGAAUCAUCUAUUCAACCAACACAUAGGACUUCAAAGAGUGCCCCGAAGUUUCUACCGGAGAGUCAAAACGUGUGCCAACCCCUAUGCAUAGGUUCUCAAUGUCACGAACCCGCAAGUUGAUCACCAAAACAUACAUCGAGUACUCACAUGAAUCCACGUGUGCCAACCCAUACAUAGGUUCCCAAUUGUCACAAACCCGCAAGUUGAUCACAGCAGAUAGACACGUGCAAGAUAUACAUCAAGUGUUCUCAAAGACUCAAUCCGAUAAGAUAACUUCAAAGGGGAAACUCAAUUCAUUACAAGAAGGGAGAGGGGGAAGAACAUCAUAAGAUCCAACUAUAGUAGCAAAGCCCACGGUACAUCGAGAUCAAGACAUCUCAAGAACACGAGAGAGAGAGAUCAAACACAUAGCUACUGGUACAUACCCUCAGCCCCGAGGGAGAACUACUCCCUCCUCGUCAUGGAGAUCGUCGGGAUGAUGAAGAUGGCCACCGGAGAUAGAUUCCCCCUCCGGCAGGGUGCCGGAACGGUCUCCAGAUUGGUUUUUGGUGGCUACACAGGCUUGCGGCGGCGGAACUUCCGAUCUAGGUUUCUUUCUGGAGGUUUCCGUAUUUAUAAGACUAGAUGGCGUCGAGAACAAGUCAGGGGGACCCACGAGGGAGUCACACGCCCUUGGGGCGCGGCCAGGGGGGUGGGGGCGCCCCCAGGCUUGUGGCUUCCUCGGGACUCUUCUCCGGUAUAUUUUUCUUCUGGUAUUUUUGAUAUUUUCCAGAAAAAAUCUUUUCGGGGAUUUUCUUCCUUUUGGACUCCGUUUCAAAAUCUCCUCUGAAAGGGGUCAAAAAUAUGGAAAAAGCAGGAACUGGCACUUGGCACUGAGUUAAUAAGUUAGUCCCUAAAAAUAUAUAAAAGGCAUGCAAAACAUCCAAAGUUUGACAAGAUAAUAGCAUGGAACCAUCAAAAAUUAUAGAUACGUUGAAGACGUAUCAACUAGCAAGUUGGAUGAUAUGCUAAUGAUCGUCAUCGAAGAGCAACGCCAAAUAUAGUGUAUCAUGCUCUCACCUUGGAGCAAUGCUUUACUUGUAAUUGCACUUGUGCGUGUUGUAGUAUCUGUGGGCCUUUAGGACUUCACAAGUCUCGUUACCAAGGGUAUCACACGAAAACUACUUAAUGGGUUGGGAUGGUUAAGUUGUGAUGUUGCAACAAGCACUAGUCCGAUGAGUACUAGAACAAGAUAAGAUAAGAUAAAUCCUACCCAUAAGGGGGUGGCAAUUAGAUAAUCAAUAAGUUACCCUAAACACUAUGUACAAAUUUUGCUUGCAUUCCCACAAGAAGUGAUUGUCGUGGUACACACACGGUUUGUAAGUUUUAGUUAUUAGUUGAAGUUCUCUACAACUGGAUAUUGUAAUUUUUGAAGUCAUGUGUAACCGUGGGCAUGGCUUUUCAAAAGAUUUAACCCUGUAUGGGUCCUACUAAUUCCUCCAUGGUAGAUUUCCGCGCGCAUACCCGUUCCUCCAAGUCCAUGGCCCAUGGGAACCCUCGUGCAAAGCAUGAUGUGUUUCAGGAAUUUUGGAGCAACAAAUCCUCGAUCUAAUGUAGAACUAGCAGCUAGAGAGGCCUCCCGAUGAGUCUUAUUGGGCUAUGAGCCGCACACACUGUAUCCUCAGACCCAUUCGUCUAUGCCAAGUGGAUAGUGAACCAAAACCUCGAGUUUUUCCAUGGUGGAACCUCACUUCUAGGUAGGGGCCAACGCUUUUUCGAGCACCCGCCUAAGUUAUUUCAAAAGUACCUUGAGGGGUGACCCUCUAUGCGACUUUUAUGUUGGAUAAUGUUAACAAAAAUGUUGCACCUCUCUGGAAAAGUUUAGUGCUAGAUAAAGAGGUCAAGGGGAGCCUCAUAAUCCCCACACAUAUUAUGAGCGCUCGUAGAAAACAUAAAACUAGGGUUACGAAACUAAGAGAACAACAGUGAAACAAAUCACCGGGGCAUAGGUAUGAGAUUUCCAUCCUUUACCAAGUGUAUAGUCAAGAUUAGUUAAAUAAGCAAGAUAUGAUAUCUCAGGAUGUCCAUAUCUCAACAUGGAACAACCUGCACCUACAAGUAGCAAAUCUAUAAAAGGAGCCGAGCAAGCGGUAGCAUGGCAAUCUAUGGUUUGCUAGGAUAGUGAAGGUUAUGGGCUAUAUCAUGGCAAAUGUUAGGCUUGCAAACAAGUGGUAGGUAGCGAGACCGGACAAUAGCAUCGUGACAUCUAGCAAGCAAAGUUAGUAAUCAUAUCCAAGAUAAUGAUCAUUCUUGUGUGAGAUUCCACUUUGAAGAUCGAAACCACAAAGUGUAGUCGAACAAAAUCCUUGUACUUCGUAUCGUUAUCGGGAGCUAACGAGAAGAAGAAGAACCGGAAAGAAGCAAACGGUAUGAUAAACAAACAUAUCAUGGCAUAAUGACAAUCAGCAUGAAUCAUGACAAGUUUAAUGAUUUUACAUGGCAACCUAUAACUAGAAAAGUUAAAGAAAGCCUUGAUCCAUGUGUGGUAUGAAUCAAAUGAAACUCCAUAUGCAUUUUCUUUUCUUUUUUGAGCAAGUUAAACUCCGAGAUCAUGUCCCUUUUGCAUUUUAGUCACUAUUAUUUGGUUAACUCGCAAGUUCUUGAUACUUGCGUAAAAUUUGACAAAUGAUAUAUAUAUGUUUUUCGACUAGAGUUUCGCAAGCUGGUCGUACCAUCAUUCACACGCCUCACAACGAUGUCAAGAAACACCAUUGCAACGUGGAGGGAGUGGGGAUGAUUUUAUGCCGACAGCGACACCAUCGCCUCACCUUGACGAGUGGAGACCAAAAUAAAAAUUUGAAAGCCCACCAUAGCAUCGCGUGUCUCACAAAGUGAGAGCAGACUCAUGAUCGCAAGGGAGGAGGCAGAUUGGCGCUAUUGUCCUGGCUCAUAGAAUUUCACCCGAAGUGGAGGGGGAGGAAAACGCUUCAUAGCGCGAGGUGGGAUUGAUGAGUAGCCAUAUACUCGCUCCAUUUCAUUAUAUAAGGCCACACACUCAGAUUACAGGUACCAAGGUAAAAUUCAAUGACUGCAUCGUGAGCCUACUUUUUGUUUUGUUAACCGAGAUCAUUAAUACAACACAUGGAUACAAAGAAAAAAAUGAGAAGAAAGUAGUUAAGUAUUUUUUUUUAACGAAGACAAAAGAUUACCUCAUCUAUUAGUUAAGCGGAAGAGAAUUGCCCUACAUGUAUGCGAACUUUAAACAAGUUGCUAAUAUGAGGAAAUAUUGUUAAUUUUUUCCUCGGUUACUCUUGAUGGUUUUAUGUAGAUGUAAAAUGGUUUCUUUUAUAAUGACCUUGUAUAAAGAAACAGAGGAAACAAUAUUUUUGAAACGAAAAUAUGCACGCCGUAUUUCAGAAUCGAGAAAGAAAACUGCAAAAGCAAAGCAUCUUCUAGCGACGAACGGCCUUGCUCGGAAGCGUGCACCCGACGCUGCGUGAUUCCCCCCCACAAAACAAGGUGGGAUUCCCAGUUCGGAUGCCCCCAUGCCUGCGGUCGCUCGCUCUUGUAGUCUUCCUCAGCUCCGGUACACGGCGCUUUGCUUUGCUUUGAUCAUGGCGGGAUGCUUCUUUUCCGUUCGGUGAUGUGUCGACUCGCGAAUCUCGAUCGAUCGACGUGCCCCCCACUUGCGUGGACCAAGCUAUCAUGGAGAUGGCAAGCGGAACCCGAAAGAAGUUCACAUGCCCAAGGCGACGGUCGAGCCAGGCCAUUCAUUUUUCUGACAGAAACCACCGCACGGGACAUGUUGUUAGCAAGCUCAAACUUCACGUAGAAUUCUCUGGCAGAAACAAUGGCGUUUGCACUGAUCAUGCAUAUAUCCCCGCGUACAAGGCUGCACCUGUUGUAUUUUUACUCCAACCGUGUGAUGUGAACCCAUAUUUGUUUUGCUAAAAAACAGUUGAUCGAGACUUCAGGAAGCCUCAAUCCAUACUAUAAUCCGUUGAUUUUACAUUAAGAUUCGUGUAGAUAAAUUUUUUUUCUUGCAUACUAUACUACUUUGAGACUUCACGAAGUUUCAUUUGACUGAGACCUAGACACACCUAUUUACAUUGAGAUUUAUUAACUGCUCAACUCCCUGGGGUUCUCGAAACAUGGAGGACGUGCAACGCAAAAGUGUCCACAUAGAUCAACGUUCGGCUGGCGCAGGUGAGGUAGGUGAACCUGCCGGUGCACUAUCAAGUUUACGAGGCAAGCUCUUGUCUUGGUGCGAGUAAAACGGGAGGCGAACUGGACGGACGGCCACUGCUCGCCUCGCUUGCGUGGCCAUGUGUGCGCUGCCCUGCUAUUGUUGGGAAACAGUACAGUACAGCUUGAUUUUGGGGUCAGGGAAGCGUACAACUCAUGUGAGGUUUAGCCUGUCGUGUCGAUCUUGUUUGUUUCGAGGGCUUUGGCUAUUUGCUAGUAGGAAGUAGUACGGGACUUGGUGAAGUGAACCAACCACUUCUUUGACCGAUUUUAAAGUGCUGCGUACUCUUGUAAUCUGUUGGCGGGGCUUGGCUGGUGUGAUGGAGCUCGCCUGCCAAUAUGUGCACAUCCACCCGUGGAAGGAUCAGUUGAGAACGUGUCCGUGUGUCCGCGUCACGACAGCGACAAGGCAUCGACGCCGUGGGCCGGCCAAGAUCAGUUUCUUGACGCCGACAGUAAAUAAAAAGUAAAUAAAACACGGUUUACGAUAACACGUACACUCUCUCUCGUGACCGGUGGAAGUAAGAGGAUAACUUCUUUCAAUGAACUGUUUCCAUGAACUGGUCAAACGGGACCGGCCCGGAAGCACGCCAGCUCGGCACGGUAUGGGUUAAUCAGACCGUCUCAGGCACGCAGCCCGUCUCGGGCCUGAGGGCUGGGUACGCGGGCCGGCACGGCAUGACCCGUUUAUCAUAUUUACUAUUUAUUCCCCCCCCCCAUAUAUAUACAUAAUAAAUAAAAUAACCUAAUAAAUCAAAAUCGGUUCAAAACACAGUUCAAUAUGUUGGUCCAAAAAACAGCCAAACAUGUCAAAAUCAGCCCAAAUAACAGCCUAAAAUAAAAAAGAAAACUAAUAGGCUAGCGGGUCUGGCGUGCCACGGACCGGUCCGUAUAGCCUCCUUGUCGUGCCUGGACCGGGAGGCUGCGCACGUGGGCGGCACAACACGGCCCAGCUAAUAUUCGUGCCCGGGCGGGCCAUGUCGUGCCAAACCCGUUUAUGGGGCCGUGCCGGGCCGGCCCGUUUGACCAGGACUGAAUUGGUCCUUUGGGCAACACACACAUGCGCGCGCGCGCGCACACACACACAAUGGUUCUUUUUUUUAAGAAAACUUGCCACUUUAUUUAUCGCAUUUAAAAUGUCAGGUACAUGAACGAAAUUGGGUGUGGCAAUAAAAAAAUGGUUCUUUGUUUUAUGCAUGGUGUUUGACACUAGUUGGGCAGGUUCCUAAGAUUGUCGAUGUCCAAAUUUAUAACUGCCCAGUUUGAUCCAGCAAAAUCUAUGACUUAUAAUUCUGAAAAAUAGACAAAAUUUACCCUAAGAAAAUACUCUUCGUUCCUAAAUAUAAGACCUUUUAAAAAUUUCGCUUUCAACUACAUUCGAUGUAAAAUGAGUGAAUCUAUACUCUAAAAUAUGUCUACAUACAUCCGUAUUUAGUUCAUAGUGAAAUAUCAAAAAUGUCUUAUAUUUUAAAACGAAGGGAGUAAUUGUUACAGAGUUUUUGUUGAAAACCCCUCACAUAUGUUAAUCAAUUAAAAUAUUCAUACAAUCAUCCAUUACAUCUUUCUCCACACAAGGCGGAUCAUACCUAUUCACAAAACUAAACUUGGCAAUCAAGUGUGCCAUCCUAUUGCCCUUUCUUUUAAUCUUGGACAUCUUGAACUCUGUCAACAUUUUAGAGACACCCAACGCUUCUUUCUUUAGAACAACAAAGGGAGACAUGUCACACAAAUAUCUUUUGGAGGCCUAGCUUCAUGGAGGCCUUCAAAUGCGAAAUUUAAAUUUCACGAAAAUUCAUAUUUUACAUGUUAUUUUUUAUAAAAAAAAUACAUAAAUAGAUGAAAGUAUAAUGCAUAAGUGUGUACAUUUUUAGGACUAAAUACGUUGAAAUGAGGGCUGUGCAAAAAAGACAAUUCUGAGACUUUUAAACAAAUGAUACUAUUCAUCAUUUUAGACCAUGGAAUUGUCUUUCUUUGUAUAGGUUGUGUUUCAAAGUAUUUCAACCUAGAAUUUUACACACAUGCGGCUCACAUCCUCGUUUAGUUAUACAAUUAUUUUUACAUUUUUUUGAAAUCAAUUUUUUCUAAUUUUGAAUUUUUGAAAAAUUCGGCCUCCAUGGAGGCCAAGAGCCAAAACGCCAUUCUCGACAUGUCAAGAUUAUCAUUUCCAAGCAAUAGAACCACAAAAGAACAACCAGUUUUCAAAAUGGUAGUUGUGCAGAGUGAUACCGAUAUAAAGAACAACGAGGAUCACUCUAAGUUUCACUUCAUCCGCACUAUUGCAAGCCUCAAUAUAAUCCGAGGAGAAAAUGAUAACUUCUGCAGUUUUGUUUCGGGAAACUCCCCCCCCCCCUUGUCGUGCUAAUGACCUUCAGAAAACUUGCAUCGACACUAAUCAGGAACUCCGAAGCGUGAGGCUGCCAAGAAAGAAAAAAUUCCUCUCCACAUUACUGGUGGAUUUCACUGCAUCUUUACAUUUGUUGCUGACCUUCACCUGCUUAUUGGUAUGAAACGACGAAAAAGACGCCCAAUAAUUUUGCAUAAAGCUCACAGAGGUAGAGACAACUUCCUUUCCCUUACCAUAGGUCAAAUCAUUUCUCAAAUGCCAUGAUCUUCAAAAGAUGAAUAUAAUUGACUCACACAAAUGCAACCCUAAUUGAUCCAUCAAAAUAAAUAACAAAUAUGAACCAUAAAAUUCAAAGAUCUCUUCACUCGGUAAAUUCCAAACCUCCUUCAAACUCCAUAAAAGUGCACAAGCCUUGGGACAUCUUAGCGAGCAUGAAAAACACAUUCAUCUUCAACACACCUGGAAAUUGAGCACAAGCCAUGAAUAGCUUGAUGAUGUUUUACUCUGUUAACUUGAUCCGCCAAACUAUUAGAAGUAGCAUACCAUGCAAAUAUUUUGAUUUUCCUAGAAACAUAAGCCUUACAAAUAAUAUUCGAGAGCCUUCUUUCCCAUUCAAAACAACAAUGGAGCUCCCUAACUACUUUAUUGUCCUUGAGAUUUAGUGCCAACCUAUACGUACUCUUUAUCAAGAAUAACCCUUUUUUCGUAGUGCCAAGCAAUAAAAUCUUCAUCUCCCAAAGUCAGAAUGAGCAACUUUAAAAUUUCCUCGACAUCAUGGGGGGUAAACAUAUGUAUGAUCGGAUUCUCACCACAUCUUCUUGAACCACUCAUGAAUAACUCAGACAUCCAUUUGAGCCUCUUCUUAGCAAACAAAAUUAGCCGGAGUCUCUAGGAAGCAAAUUAUCCCUCCAUAUGUGUAUACUAGCACCAUUGGAAACUCUCCAUAUAACACCCUUUUUCAACAGCUCGGGACCAUGCAUAAUAACUUGCGAAAUAACCGACACCUCUUGAGGGACGACAAUAUCAAUAAGAUAUCCAUGGGGUUAAUAUUUUUCUUUAAUCACCUUUGAACAUAAUCCAAAAAAAACCAAUAAUCAUCAAGCUUGUUUCACCAGAAGCACAUGAUUACAUAGUCUAAUAUCUCGAAACCCUAUAGCUCCCGCACCUUUGGGUCUUGCCAUCUUGUCGUACGCAAGCCAAUAAGUUUUUCUCCUAUUCUCCUCAUCACCCAUCAAUUUUUUUGAUGAUCUAGGAUAAUUAUUCACAAAUCCAUGCAUAACAUUUAAAGAUGCCCAUGGCAUAGGCCGGUAGCGCCUGAAUGACCGACUUAAUCUGGAUUUCCUUCAUCCCACUAGAAGCAUAUUAUUCAAUCUAGUCCAAAAACUACUUUAGCGCUUUAUCUUUGGUAGACUAAAAUUGCCGCCUUCAUUCUACUUGCUCGCACAGGUAAACCAAGAUAUCCUCUCAAAUCCAUCAACCAUGAUUUGAAUUACAACCAAAAUGGGCACUGAUCUUUUAGACAACACAUUUUGCCAAAUAAAAUGGAGCAUUUAUCUCGGUCCAAUAGUUGACCUUUCCCCUCCUCAUAAACCUAAAAAUUCUUCUAAUGGUCAGGGCUUGCUACAAAGAACCCUUGAAAAUAGGAGACUAUCAUAAAAAAACUGUGAGAAUGUCUGUGCAGCCGAAACUCCUAGAUAAUCCCUCUCACAUACGCAUCAUUAAGUAACAAUGGAAGGGCUUCAACCACAAAAGGAACAAGUAUGGAGAUAAAAUGAUUACUUUGCGAGUGACGAUGCAAAAGUUGAAAGAUUCUAACAGAUAGCCAUUAAAACACGCUAAAAAUUUCACUAAAACAACAUAAAUCAUAAUUCACUUAACCCAAACUAGAGCAAAACCAUAUGCUCUCACCAUACUUUCCAAGAAAUUCUAGUCCACACGGUCAUAUGCUUAGAGAGUUUCAACUUGCAUGCAGACUAUUUGUGUCGAAAAUCUUUCAAAAACCUCUAUGAUUGCAUACAUCCAAAGCAAUAAUAGCACUAUCUGAAAUUAAUCUUUCAAGAAUGAUAACACUUUGGGUAGGAAAAAUCAUACCAUCCAACAAAGGGCUCAGUCUAUUAACAAGACACUUGAAUAUAAUUAUAUAUAUGACAUCACAUAAAGUGAUUGGUAAAAAAUCUUUUUCGACCCAGGGUUCUCCACUUUAGGAAUAAGCACAAUAGUUGUAUUAUUUAUCCCUUCCAGCGUGCUUCCAGAAAUAAAGAACAAUUGAACAACAUGAAAAAUAUCUCCCUUGAGUAAACCCUAAUUCCUUUGAAAAAAAACAGCUAGAAAUCCAUCUGGCCUUGAAGCCUUCAACGAACCUAUUUGGAAGAGAGCAUCACUAAUCCCUUGUUGAGAAAAUGAUUUGCAAAGGUCCUCAUUCAUGGUAUGUGACUCUAUGGUAAACACAUCUCAUAUUAUUCCACGUGUGUAACCUUUGGUAAAUGAUUACAGAGAUUUUUGUGUAUGGGAUGGCGAGGUCGCGGUGAGGCGCUGAGCUGCUGCGGGGUUUGGCGGCGACAACAGGCGUGCAGGCGGCGACAGUGUCGUCAUAGGGCGACGCAGUGUGGGCUAGAGCUCGUCUGUGGUGUGGCGGUUGCGCGAGGGGGGGGGGCUCGUCCUCACGCGGAUGCGUGCAUGCUGGUUCCCGGCCAGAUCAGGCUCUAGGUAGCUCGCGGGAGGUGCGGGGUUGGCAGCGACUCAUUCGAUGGUGUCGCGACAUGAGCGGAUGGCGGCGACGUCUCUGUCUAUGUGGCAUUUGCGGGUGUUGGGCCUUGGGUGGAUGCGAGCACAGUUGGGUGGCCGGUCCUAACGACCUGACACGCGACACGGGAGACGGGUGGCGCACUGAUGGUUGCGUUGGUGGCCAGCCAGGUGUGGUACAUGGGAGGCAGGCCAGGACAUCGCCCCUGCGCCGAAUCUGGCAUGGUUUCGGGUGUAUGUGGGGGGACUUGAAGUGCCUUCGACUGGAGGUUGCUCGGUGUGGCUGUUGUGAUGGUCGGAGAGCGUGAUGGUGGUUCCUGGGAACGCGCAAGGAUGGUUGGUUGCACGUUGCUCUAGCCGUUUAUUCCCCUGGCUGCGGGUGUGUGGAAGUGGGUCACACGACUUCUUGGCGGAGCUAGACUGGGGCUGGAGGUGGUGGCUAGCUGGAGGUGGAUUGCGUGAGUGGCCUUUGGAGGCGGCCCCGACGACAAGAGUUGUCGGCUACCUACGACAUCCCUGUCUCGAUGUGAACGAUCAGAUCUGAUGGGGCAGUCUUCGCCCUCCUCGAUGGUGUUCUCCCAAAGUUGGUUGAGAGCGCCAUUGUCCCUUGGCCAUAUCUCACGAUGUCGAGUGGGGACCCAAGGUUGUUGGGGUGGCGUCUGAAAGUGCAUCAUUGCCCUGAAUUAUUUUUGACAUCUAUGACAAUUUCAUUUGUAUUUCUAAACACAUGCUCUAGUGUAAACAUCUCCGACAAAAGUAAAGAGAAGCAUGGAUAUGGUUAUUUCCCCUCUACUCGGAAAAAGGAAAAGUCAGAGUUCCAUGAAAGUUUUUCUUUCUUUCUUGAGUCCUUAGGGCAACUGCACUAUUAAGAGGGGAUGCAUCGUGAAAAUUAUCUAGGAAUCAACUCUUCAUAAAAACAAGUUCUCGAAAACCAAUUCUAAGAUCUGUCAAAAUUGACACUGCAAAGCCUCUGUCUUAGGUCAGAACUUCCGGGGCGGACGGAACUUCCCGGGACCAUAAGGCCCGAGGAGCUUCCGGGCCAACCAGAGAAACUGCCAGCCUCUGUGCAAUGUUUCUGUUUAGGCUGGAACCUUGCCAGACCCUGGCCGAAACUUCGAGGGAGGCCGGAACUUCUGUCCCGAUCCUGUCUGCUUUCGAGGGACUCCAACCGGGUGCAAUCAUUCUAUUCAAACCGGUACCUUCGCGGAGCCUGGUCGUAACUUCCGGGGUGCGGAACCUCCGGUCCCCCCGGAACUUCCGGGGUUGGCAGAAAUGUGGCCCCCAACGGCUGGAUUUCUUCCCCACCUAUAAAUAGCCUUCUCCUUCCCGAGGCACCGUAAAAACUCCAUUUUUCUCACUCCACCAUUUUCAAACCUCUAUUUCUUAGAGUUCCCCCUCCUUAGCCAACCAAAGCUCUUGAUGUUUUGAGGAGUGAAGGAGGAGUUCCUGAUCUACACAUUCACCAAAGAAAAAGUUGAUCCCCCUUGUUUUCAGGAUGCAUCUUGUAACUCUUGGAGGUUGGAGACUCUUAGGCGGUAGGAGUACUCCGACGAGGAAUCGUUCAUUGUGAUUACCCCCAAAAAGUUUGUGAGGGUUUGGAGACCACCCCAAGGUCUACCACUAGUGGUUGAGAAUCGCCUUCGUGGUGUUGUAUCAAAGAGAUAAUAGGGUGGGCCUUCCUAGCGUUGGUGUGCCUUUGUGGUAACAUCCACAUUUCUAAACGGUGACAUAGCUUCCCUCCAAUAAAUUGAACAUCGGUAUACAUCCUCGUCUCUAGGAGUUGUGGUUAUCUCUAACCCUAAUCCUCUACUUGUGGUUAUUUUUCUUUGUGAUAUUUCUUAUAUUACUUGUAUUACAUGUGCUUAACUCUUUAAUUAAUUGUUGUAUUGCUUAGUACGCGUAGCACGACUACCAUCUUUGCAAUUGUUAGGCUCACCUUCAUAUUCUGCAUUACUGCCUAAAAUUGCUAAGAAACAAUUAAAAAUUGUAAUCGUACCUAUUCACCCCCUCUAGGACCAUCUCGAUCCUUUCAAUUGGUAUCAGAGCCUCGUGCUCUAAUUUAGUGGCUUAACCGUCCUAGAUCGAGAUGGAUAAGGUUGGGAACCCGUUGCGUGCUCCUCCUCUUGAAGGAGAAGCUUCAUCCAUAUAUGAAGGGAGAUAUUUCACUUCUUAAGAUCUCGAACGGAUCCUCGCUAAGAAGAACGAGGAGCAUGAUGCUUCUAUUGAGGCUUUGGUAAAAGUGAGGUUGGAAGCAUUUGGUGCGAAAAUUACAUCACCGGAGAACCCAAUUCGUGUGUUAAAAUAAUCAAUUGCAUCCAUUCCUAAUUCGGGGCAACAACCUCCACCUCACAACAAUAUCGGUGUUCCUUGGCUAUAUGCUGAACCUAGAGUGGAGAAACCUAAGUAUAAUAUUUUGGGAAAUCCUCCUUUACUUGAUGACACUGCCGAUUUUUCUUUGUGGAGAGUUGGUAUGCAGGAUCAUCUUAGGUUUGCCAACGAUGAAAUGCCGGAGAUCUUGGAGAAAGGUUACAACCCUCUGAACCCCAAGGAUCUCACACCGAGUGAAGUAUAUGACAGACACCUCAAUGGCACCACGAUCAUGCUCAUAAGAAAAGGCAUGCGUGACAAGCAGAAAAGGCCUUACAUUCACGUAUCAAAUGCAAAAGAACUUUGGGAUAGCAUUAUGAUGACAAAGACGGGAACAUCCUCUCUUCGUCUUGCACAAUAUGAGAUAGCAAAAGGAGCAUUGCAAUACUUCUGCAUGUAGAAAGGAGAGACCCCAAGCAUCUUCUUGAAAGAUCGAUGACACUUGCUGUCGACAUAGAAUCAUAUGACUGUGACAAGAGUCGAGAUGGAUUCAAUCUGACGAAACGGUUUCUUGUGGAUAAAAUUCUAAAUGCUCUUGCCCCGUACCACCAUCAAAUGGUAUGGGACAUAAGGAGAGAACAUGGUUUUAAGGACAUAUCUCUUGAUGAUGUCAUCUCUGCCUUCCAACUAUUCCAAGAAUCAAAGGCCAAUGCUACAAGGCAUCUUGCCAUGCAUGGCUCCUCAUCACCCAAGACAAAUCUUGCGUUGAAGGCCAAACACGUGAAGGAUGACGAUGAUGUCAGUGAAGAAGAAGAGGAACAUGAAGAGGAAGGCUAUGAAGAUGAAUCAAAUGACGAGCUCUCAUAUGAAGACAUGGAUCUUUGUCAAGAAGUUUAGUGCUGGAAAAUUCAAGGGAAUAUUCCAAAAGAAGAAAGUAAGGACUUGUUACAAUUGUGAAUAAACCAACCACUUCUCAAACAAGUGUCCUUAUGAUAAGAGAGAAGACAAACCAAGAUUUCUGAAGACCUUUGUGAAGAAGAAGUUGCCUAACCCAUUAAAAUCCAAGUUCAGAAAAAGAGAUGGGAAGGCAAUGGUUUCUCAAGAUGAAUCCGGCCCCGAUGAUGUUGGGGGUGUUGUAGCAUAGCACAAGACACUCAAACCACAUUAAUACUGUUCAACAAAAGUUGUGAUGUUGUCACAUACAACUACAUGAAAGACUACAAAGGUAAUGCACACAAAUGCCUCAUGGCUCAAGAUGUGAUGGAAGAUGAUGAGGGACAGACAUCUUGAGACAAGGUGAAGGUAACUCCACGACCUAACCCUUCUCUAUUUUCCUCCAACACAUCUAGUGAUGAAUAUGUUGAUGCUCAGGAUCGUGAUCAUGAGACUGAAAUUAGUGAUGCUAUGUUUGCUAAAAUGAAGAAAGUCAUGUGCUCCCUCAAAGGAAAGAAGAUCAUUACGUUUCGUAUGCUUAUGGAGAUGGUGAGUAAGGACGCCACUUCCAUUAAGAACACAAAAACCUCGUUACCGAGGAAAAGGACAAAUGCGAAAUCCUUGAGCAGAAAGUCCUAUAUGAGGAAGCACAUAAUGACAAAUUGUGCUUAAAAAUAGGUGCAAACAUUGAUAAGAACACUGAAGAACUUGCCUCUUUAACAAAGACUGGAAAUGAUUAUGAAGUGUUAAAAAGAGACAAACGUAAGUUUGACGAGUCUCACUCCGCUCUUUCUAAAGAUUGUGAGCUCUUACAUUUGUCUCUCAAGACAAAGGAGGUAGAUCUCAACACUCUUACAAAGAAGUUUGACAAACUCAAGCUUACAUAUCUUAACAUUCUAGGCAAAGUUUACUCCUCUCCUGUUGUAAAUGUUGAUGCUUGUGCUACUAAUCCCAGUGGUGACCUAGCUAGUGUUCUUGAGGAGAACCGGUUGCUAAAAGCUCAAGUUGAAAAAGGGCUCAUGUCAUGUGCCCAAGGACAAAAGAACCUCAAUGAAGUGUUGAGUCAACACAAGGAGGUUGUGGCGAAAGAAGGGCUUGCAUUUUAUCCAAGCCGGAACAGGAAUGCAAUAACGAUACAUAAGUCCACUGCUCCUCUCGAGGAGAUAUUUGUUCGGAAAGGGCACAAGGAAGACAGAUUGGGAGACGUUGAGAAGGUUGCGAGUAGGAAGGCCACUAGGGGCCAGCCUGCUCCCAACAAGCCAAAAGAAUGCAUGCCUCCAUCAUAUGUGCUCCGUAAGGCAAAAGAUGGAGCUGUGUAUGCUAAAUUUUUUGCCCUCGAAAUGCUUUUCGAUUCUAUGCAAUUUGGGUGCCUAAGACCCUUGUUACUAACAUGAGGGGUCUGAUGUCUACUACACUACCUUCUCCUUGUAGACGUUGUUGGGCCUCCAAGUGCAGAGGCUUGUAGGACAGUAGCAAUUUUCCCUCAAGUGGGUGACCUAAGGUUUAUCAAUCCGCGGGAGGCGUAGGAUGAAGAUAGUCUCUCUCAAGCAACCCUGCAACCAAAUAACAAAGAGUCUCUUGUGUCCCCAACACACCUAAUACAAUGGUAAGUUGCAUAGGUGCACUAGUUCGGCGAAGAGAUGGUGAUACAAGUGCAAUAUGGAUGGUAGAUAUAGGUUUUUGUAAUCUGAAAUUACAAAAACAGGAAGGUAACUAGUAAAAAAAGUGAGCACGAACGGUAUUGCAAUGCGUGGAAACAAGGCCUAGGGUCCAUACUUUCACUAGUGAAGUUUUCUCAACAAUAAUAACAUAAUUGGAUCAUAUAAAUAGCCCUCAACAUGCAACAAAGAGUCACUCCAAAGUCACUAAUAGCGGAGAACAAACGAAGAGAUUAUUGUCUGGUACGAAACCACCACAAAGUUAUUCUUUCUGAUCGAUCUAUUCAAGAGUCCGUAGUAAAAUAACACGAAGCUAUUCUUUCCGUUCGAUCCAUCAUAGAGUUCGUACUAGAAUAACACCUUAAGAUACAUAUCAACCAAGACCCUAAUGUCACCUAGAUACUCCAUUAUCACCUGAAGUAUCUGUGGGCAUGAUUAUACAUAUGCAUCACAUCAUCUCAGAAUCAUCUAUUCAACCAACACAUAGAACUUCAAAGAGUGCCCCAAAGUUUCUACCGGGGAGUCAAAACGUGUGCCAACCCCUAUGCAUAGGUUCCCAAUGUCACGAACCCGCAAGUUGAUCAACAAAACAUACAUCAAGUACUCACAUGAAUCAAACGUGUGCCAACCCAUAUGCAUAGGUUCCAAAUGUCACAAACCCGCAAGUUGAUCACAUCAGAUAGACACGUGAAAGACAUACAUCAAGUGUUCUCAAAGACUCAAUCCGAUAAGAUAACUCCAAAGGGGAAACUCAAUUCAUUACAAGAGGGAGAGGGGGAAGAACAUCAUAAGAUCCAACUAUAGUAGCAAAGCCCAUGGUACAUCGAGAUCAAGAUAUCCCAAGAACACGAGAGAGAGAGAGAGAUCAAACACAUAGCUACUGGUACAUACCCUCAACCCUGAGGGAGAACUACUCCCUCCUCUUCAUGGAGAUUGUCGGGAUGAUGAAGAUGGCCACCGGAGAUUGAUCCCCCCUCUGGCAGGGUGCCGGAACGGGCUCCAGAUUGGUUUUUGGUGGCUACGGAGGCUUGCAGCGGCGGAACUCCCGAUCUAGGUUUCUUUUUGUGGGUUUCUGAAUUUACAGGAAUUUAUGGCGGUGGAAUUAUGUCGGUUGGGCCCACGAGGAGGUCACAAGCCUGGUUGCCACAACCUAGGGGGUGGUGGCGGCGUCAGGGCUUGUGACUCCCUCGUGGCUCUUCUGGCCUUCUUUCAAAGCUUCGGGGGUCUCUUUUGGUCCAAAAAAAUCAUCGUAAAGUUUCAUUCCAUUUGGACUCCGUCUAAAAAUGGGCCAAAAACACGAAAAAAACAGAAACUGGCACUUGGCACUGAGUUAAUAGGUUAGUCCCAAAAAAUAUAUAAAAUAGCAUAUUCAUGCAUAUAAACAAUCCAAAGUUGACAAGAUAAUAGCAUGGAACCAUAAAAAAUUAUAGAUACGUUGGAGACGUAUCAAGCAUCCCCAAGCUUAACUCCUGCUCGUCCUCAAGUAGGGAAGUGAUAAAGAAUGAAUUUUUGAUGCUUUCAUGCUACCUAGCAUAGAUGUCCUUUGUAACUCCUCUUAUGUGACAUGAAUGUUCAGAUCCGUUAGAUUCAAAACAAUAGUUUGCUAUUGACGUGGAAACAAUAAUUAUUGAAGCAAACUAGCAAGGUAAUCAUGAACUUUCGAAAUAACAAGGCCAAAAGAAAGUUAUCCCUACAAAAGCAUAUAGUCUGGCUAUGCUCUAUCAUCAUUGCACAACGAAUUUAAAUCUUGCACAACCCCGUUAUUGGCCAAGUAAUUGUUUCACGCCUUUACUUUCUCAAACCUUUUCAACUCUCACGCAAUACAUGAGCGUGAGCCAUGGUUUUAGCACUAUAGAUGGUGUGGAGUGUGGUGGAGGUUGCAAGACAAAAAAGGAGAAGAUAAUCACAUUAACUAGGCAUAGCAAUGAGCUGUGGAAAUGCUCAUCAAUAGAUAUCAAUGUAAAUGAGUAGGGAUUGCCAUACAAAUGAUGCACUAGAGCUAAGAGUAUGUGAAAGCUCUUUAAAGAAAACUAGUGGGUGUGCAUCCAACUUGCUUGCUCACGAAGACCUAAGGCAAUUUUGAGGAAGCCUAUCAUUGGAAUAUACAAGCCAAGUUAUAUAAUGAAAAUUUCCCACUAGCUAUAUGGUGGUGACAAAACGAGAUACUCUCAAUCAUGAAGAUCAUGGUGCUUAAUAUCCACAAGUGUGGAAAAGUGGUAGCAUUGUCCCUUCUCUCUUUUUCUCUCAUAUAUAUUUUUUGGUGGGCUCUUUGGCCUCUUUAUUAUUAUUCCCCCCCCUUUAUUUUGGUGGGCAUCUUUGGCCUAUUUUAUUUCCUCACAUGGGACAAUGCUCCAUCAAUGAUGAUCAUCACACUUUCAACACAAAACUUAGAGCAACGAUGACUCCAUAUGGAAUGCCUUCGGUAGUGUACCGUGACAAUGAUCUAGCAUGGCAUAGACAUUAAAUGAAACAUCAUGCUAGCUAUCUUAAGAUCAUGCAAUGGAAAUUUAGAUGUGGUGGCACAUGUCAUGGUGGUAUUUGCAUGGAAAUAUAUCUUGGAAUGACUUUGAAAAAUCCAUAGUAGGUAGGUAUGGUGGCUGUUUUGAGGGAGGCUAAUGGUGGGUUUUGUGCACCGGCGAAAGUUGCACGACACUAAGAAGAUAGUGAUGGUGGUAAGUGAAAGUGCAUCUAAACCAUGGACUCAACAUUAAUCAUGAAGAACUCAUAUACUUGUUGCAAAAGUUUUAUUAGUAAUCGAAACAAAGCAUACAACGCAUACUCCUAGGGGAAGGGUUGGUAGGUAUAAACCAUCGCGCGAUCCCAACCGCCACGCAAAGGAUGACAAUCAAUAUACUAAUCAUGCUCAGAUUUCAUCACAUAGCGGUUCACCAUACGUGCAUGCUACGGGAAUCACUAACUUCAACACAAGUAUUUCUAGAUCCACAACACCUUACUAGCAUGACUUUAAUAUUACCAUAACCACAACUCAAAACUAAUUGAGAUGAAUCAAACUCCUCUAACUAUUCAAUGCACAUGAAGGUGGAAGUUUUCGUAUCCCUUUUUAUAACUACCCAUUUUGAGGCUACUUUCAAAGCAUAGAUCAACUACCAAGCCACGCACCGCUGCGCUCUAAAAGAUAUAAGCGAAGUACAUAGAGCAAAAGUAUCUAGCUCAAAAGAUAUAAGUGAAGCACAUGUGAGUUGAAUUGUCUACCACAAGAUAUAAGUGAAGCUCGACAAAAUCAUGGUGUGUGCAUGUCUCUCUCUCUAGGUGUGCAGCAAGGAUGAUUGUGACACAACAAAAAUCAAAGACUCCUACGAUACAAGAUGCUCCAAGCAAAAACACAUAACAUGUGGCGAAUAAAAAUAUAGCACCAAGUAAUGUUAUCGACGGAUUGAAGACGAGAGAGGGGAUGCCUUCCCGGGGCAUCCCCAAGAUUAGGCUUUUUCGGCAUCCUUGAAUCAAAUUGGGGUGCCUUGGGCAUCCCCAAGCUUGAGCUCUUGCCAAUCUUUAUCUCUUUGUCCAUAAGAACUUCACCCAGAACUUGAAAACUUCACAACACAAAACUUAAACAGAAACUCGUGAUAUCAUUAGUAUAAGAAAGAAAAUCACCACUUCCUUAGGUACUGUAGCAAACUUAAAUUCUACUUAUGUUGGUGUUGGGUUGCUAUAUUUUCACUUUUCCAUGGCUAGUACCCUCCGAUACUAUCCAUAAUUUCAUCAAAAUAAGCAACCAACUCAACAAAAAAACAGAAUCUGUUAACAACAGACCAGUCUGUAGCAAUAUGUAUACUUCGUAUACUUCUGGUACGUCAAAAACUCUGAAAAAUUACUACAGUCUGAAGAAAUUGCAUAGAAAUCAGCAGCAAAAAGAAUCAACUCAAAAUCUCUUACAGAAUAAAAAUGAAAAUUCUUUUCGUGAGCAGAAAGUUUCUGUCUUUUUCCAGCAUGAUCAAACAAUCAUCACCAAGACUAAUCAUAACGGUUUUGCUUGGCACAAACACAAAAAGAAACACAAAAUACACAAUCAUAACAGAAUUAUGAUGGUGUGGAGAAAACAAAACAGGAACCAAAAAGCAAAGAAAAAUUUAUUCAUUGGGUUGCCUCCCAACAAGCGCUAUCGUUUAACGCCCUUAGCUAGGCAUUGAUUUCAAUGAUGCUCACAUAAAAGGUAAGGAUUGAAACACAACGAGAGCAUCAUGGAGCAAAUGGCUAGCACAUUUAAGUCUAACCCACUUCCUGGAUUUUGUGAUCAAACAAUUUAUUGGAGCAAUAAUCAACUAGCAUAGGAAGGCAAAACAAGCAUAGCUUCAAACAUUUCAACAUAUGGAGAGGAAGCUUGAUACUAUUGCAAUAAGUAGAAGCAUAUGAUCCUCUCUCAUAGUAAUUUUUAGUAACAUCAUGAAUGAAUUCAACAAUAUAACCAGCACCUAAAGCAUUCUUUUCAUGAUCUACAAGCAUAGAAAUUUUACUACUCUCCACAUAAGGAAAUCUUUUCUCAAGAAUAGUAGUGGGAUUAUCGUAAAAGACUUGAGCACUACAAAUUGUGUCCACUAUGAAAAAGCAAGGUUUAGCAAAGGGGUUUUAGAAAGUAUGACAAGUUUUAUCAUCCCUCUUCUUCAAAGCAUAAGUAUUCUCACAAUAAUCAUCAAAGAUAGGGGGCAUUCUUUCAUCAAAAUAAUUUUGAUCAUUCAAAGUGGAAGAACUAAAAAUAUCAUCUUCAUCAAAUAUAGCAUCCCCAAGCUCGUGGCUUUGCAUAUCAUUAGCAUCAUGGGUAUUCAAAGAAUUCAUGCUAAAAACAUUGCAAUCAUGCUCAUCCUUCACAUAUUCUAUGCCAAGCAUUCUAUGUAAUUCUUCUUUCAGCACUUGAGCACUAUUUUCCUUCCCAUAAUGCUCACGAAAGACAUUGAAAAGAUGGAGCAUAUGAGGCAUCCUCAAUUCCAUUUUUUUGUAGUUUUCUAGCUAAAGAACAAGAAACAAAAAGAUUCGAUUGCAAGAUCUAAAGAUAUACCUUCAAGCGCUAACCUCCCUGGCAACGGCGCCAGAAAAGAGCUUGAUGUCUACUACGCAACCUUCUCCUUGUAGACGUUCUUGGGCCUCCAAGUGUAGAGGGUUGUAGGACAGUAGCAAUUUUCCCUCAAGUGGGUGACCUAAGGUUUAUAAAUCCAUGGGAGGCGUAGGAUGAAGAUGAUCUCUCUCAAGCAACCCUGCAACCAAAUAACAAAGAGUCUCUUGUGUCCCCAACACACCUAAUACAAUGGUAAGUUGUAUAGGUGCACUAGUUCGGCGAAGAGAUGGUGAUACAAGUGCAAUAUGGAUGGUGGAUAUAGGUUUUUGUAAUCUGAAGUUACAAAAACAGCAAGGUAACUAGUAACAAAAGUGAGCACGAACGGUAUUGCAAUGUGUGGAAACAAGGCCUAGGGUUCAUACUUUCACUAGUGAAGUUCUCUUAACAAUGAUAACAUAAUUGGAUCAUAUAACUAGCCCUCAACAUGCAACAAAGAGUCACUCCAAAGUCACUAAUAGCGGAGACCAAACGAAGAGAUUAUUGUCGGGUAUGAAACCACCACAAAGUUAUUCUUUCUUAUCGAUAUAUUUAAGAGUCUGUAGUAAAAUAACACGAAGCUAUUCUUUCCGUUCGAUCCAUCAUAGAGUUCGUACUAGAAUAACACCUUAAGAUACAUAUCAACCAAGACCCUAAUGUCACCUAGAUACUCCAUUGUCACCUCAAGUAUCCGUGGGCAUGAUUAUACGAUAUGCAUCACAUAAUCUCACAAUCAUCUAUUCAACCAACACAUAGAACUUCAAAGAGUGCCCCAAAGUUUCUACCAGAGAGUCAAAACGUGUGCCAACCCCUAUGCAUAGGUUCCCAAUGUCACAAACCCGCAAGUUGAUCACCAAAACAUACAUCGAGUACUCAGAUGAAUCAAACGUGUGCCAACCCANNNNNNNNNNNNNNNNNNNNNNNNNNNNNNNNNNNNNNNNNNNNNNNNNNNNNNNNNNNNNNNNNNNNNNNNNNNNNNNNNNNNNNNNNNNNNNNNNNNNCAAAGAAGAUUACAUCGGAUAGAUCUCCAUGAAGAUCAUGGAGAACUUUGUAUUGAAGAUCCAAGAGAGAGAAUAAGCCAUCUAGCUAAUAACUACGGACCCAUAGGUCUGAAGUGAACUACUCACGAGUCAUUGGAGGGGCGAUGAUGAUGAUGAAGAAGCCCUCCGACUCCAAAGUCCCCUCUGGCAGGGCGCCGGGAAGGGUCUCCAGAUGAGAUCUCGCGGAAACGGAAGCUUGCGGUAGCGGAAAAGUAUUUUCGAGGCUCCCCUGAUUUUUUGCGGAAUAUUUGGGAAUUUAUAGGCCAAAGAUCUAGGUCAGGGGGCGGCCAGGGAGGCCACAAGCCUGCCCACCGCCGCCUCCCCCCUGGUGGCGGAGUGGGGGCUUGUGGGCUCCCUGGAGCCCACCUGGCUUGGCCCAAAAGCCCCCGGGACUUCUUCCGUUCGGGAAAAAAUCAUUUUGGGUUUUUUCUUCCGUUUGGACUCCGUUCCAAAAUCAGAUCUGAAAAAAGUCAAAAACACGGAAAAAACAGGAACUGGCACUUGGCACUGAAUUAAUAAGUUAGUCCCAAAAAGAUAUAAAAAGGUACGUAAAACAUACAAAGAAGGCAAGAUAACAGAGUGAAACCAUCAAAAAUUAUAGAUACGUUUGAGACGUAUCAAUGACUUCAACAAACAAACAAGCACACAAGCAAGCAAGAAAACCGGCAAAGGAAAAUGGCAAAGGGCAAAAGAAAGCGGCAAAGGAAAACGACAAAAAGGCAAAAGAAAAAGGCAACGGAGAAAGGCAAAUGAAAAUGGCAAAUGUGAAGUGGGGGAGAGGAAAACGAGAGGCAACUGGCAAAAAAAGUAAAUGCAAGAGAUGAGUUUGUGAGACCUACUUGGAUAGAUCUCUCCUUCCCCGGCAACGGCGCCAGAAAUACUUCUGCUACUGCAACAAAAGACCUUCCAACGGCCCCAGAAACAAGCGUGCUGACGGAAGACUAUUCUUGUCUUGAUACUCCUCAGCAACGGCACCAGGAAUCCUUUUGCUACGGCUACGCCUUUAGGGACUUCCUUGGCAAAUAUGCAAAGGAUUCCCCCGUGGCCUUGGAGCCUUGCGUUGGUGUUCCCUCGAAGCGGAAAGGGUGAUAUNNNNNNNNNNNNNNNNNNNNNNNNNNNNNNNNNNNNNNNNNNNNNNNNNNNNNNNNNNNNNNNNNNNNNNNNNNNNNNNNNNNNNNNNNNNNNNNNNNNNACCCGUACCCGUAGCCGCCACCGUCGGCGCCCCAGGGCAGGAUCUUCCAGCUCUGGUUCUCGCCCUUGCAGAACUCCCAGAGGACGACGGCGGUGCCGUCGUGCACCCCGCCGUGGGGCUUGUCGCCGUGGAGGGCGUCGAAGCUGAGGCUGAGGUUGUUGACCAUGCGGAUGCAGCGGAAGCCCUUGCCGACGUCGUUGCUCUCCGUCCACAGCACCGACUCGUCCUCGAACGCCGGGUUGUAGGGGAUGAGCUUGACGGGGUGGGACUGGCCGAGCGAGUGCUUCACGGCCAGCCCCGUGGCCUUGUUCACCAGCGCGAACGCCGGGUGCCCCUCCGCGUCGCUCACCCUC
rnacentral:lncRNA from 1 species